rnacentral:rRNA from 1 species
UACCGAGGGGGCGAGCGUUAUUCGGAAUUAUUGGGCGUAAAGGGCGCGUAGGCGGCCCUGUAAGUCAAAGGUGAAAUCCCUCGGCUCAACUGAGGAACUGCCUUUGAAACUGCAGGGCUUGAGGCCGGGAGGGGGUAGCGGAAUUCCCAAUGUAGCGGUGAAAUGCGUAGAUAUUGGGAGGAACACCAGUGGCGAAGGCGGCUACCUGGACCGGUUCUGACGCUGAGGCGCGAAAGCGUGGGUAGCAAACAGG